CCUACGGGAGGCAGCAGUGAGGAAUAUUGGACAAUGGGCGGGAGCCUGAUCCAGCCAUGCCGCGUGCAGGAAGACGGUCCUAUGGAUUGUAAACUGCUUUUGUACGGGAAGAACAAGGGGCACGUGUGCCCCUCUGACGGUACCGUAAGAAUAAGGAUCGGCUAACUCCGUGCCAGCAGCCGCGGUAAUACGGAGGAUCCGAGCGUUAUCCGGAAUCAUUGGGUUUAAAGGGUCCGUAGGCGGGCCGUUAAGUCAGGGGUGAAAGUCUGCGGCUCAACCGUAGGACUGCCCUUGAUACUGGCGGCCUUGAGUUAUGGUGAAGUGGCUAGAAUAUGUGGUGUAGCGGUGAAAUGCAUAGAUAUCACAUGGAAUACCGAUUGCGAAGGCAGGCCACUAACCAUAUACUGACGCUGAUGGACGAAAGCGUGGGGAGCGAACAGGAUUAGAUACCCUGGUAGUCCACGCCGUAAACGAUGGAUACUAGCUGUCCGGUACCUUGAGUACUGGGCGGCCAAGCGAAAGUGAUAAGUAUCCCACCUGGGGAGUACGUCCGCAAGGAUGAAACUCAAAGGAAUUGACGGGG
rnacentral:rRNA from 1 species